rnacentral:rRNA from 1 species
GCAGUCGAACGCUUCUUUCCUCCCGAGUGCUUGCACUCAAUUGGAAAGAGGAGUGGCGGACGGGUGAGUAACACGUGGGUAACCUACCCAUCAGAGGGGGAUAACACUUGGAAACAGGUGCUAAUACCGCAUAACAGUUUAUGCCGCAUGGCAUAAGAGUGAAAGGCGCUUUCGGGUGUCGCUGAUGGAUGGACCCGCGGUGCAUUAGCUAGUUGGUGAGGUAACGGCUCACCAAGGCCACGAUGCAUAGCCGACCUGAGAGGGUGAUCGGCCACACUGGGACUGAGACACGGCCCAGACUCCUACGGGAGGCAGCAGUAGGGAAUCUUCGGCAAUGGACGAAAGUCUGACCGAGCAACGCCGCGUGAGUGAAGAAGGUUUUCGGAUCGUAAAACUCUGUUGUUAGAGAAGAACAAGGACGUUAGUAACUGAACGUCCCCUGACGGUAUCUAACCAGAAAGCCACGGCUAACUACGUGCC